rnacentral:rRNA from 1 species
AUUGAACGCUGGAGGCAGGCCUAACACAUGCAAGUCGAGCGGAGCGGCGGACGGGUGAGUAAUGCCUAGGAAUCUGCCUGGUAGUGGGGGAUAACGUCCGGAAACGGGCGCUAAUACCGCAUACUAUCAGAUGAGCCUAGGUCGGAUUAGCUAGUUGGUGGGGUAAAGGCCUACCAAGGCGACGAUCCGUAACUGGUCUGAGAGGAGGAUAGGUCAUACUGGAAGUGAGACACGGUGCAGACUCCUUCUGGCAGUAGCAUUGGGGAAUUGUUGACAAUGGGCGAAAGCCUGAUCCAGCCAGGCCGGUGGUGUGAAGAAGGUCUUCGGAGUUUAAAGCACUUUAAGUUGGGAGGCGUUACCAACAGAAUAAGCACCUGCUAACGUCGUGCCAGCAGCCGCGGUAAUAC